rnacentral:lncRNA from 10 species
GUUUCCUCACUACCAUGACAUCUGAACAGAAGGAGAAAACAUCUCCCUUUUGUAGCAGGCUAAUUUAAUUUGUACCUUCCACCUAGGGGUAAAUAUGUUUGUCUGUCUGUCUGAGCUUUUUGCCCACUUUCUUUUCUCACGGGAAACCCUUCUGAGUAGAAAGCAGGAAAUUGCUUACUGCUCUAACUUUAUUUUAAAGUAAUUUAAUUUUAAGCCUUCUCACAUCCACCCUAAAGUGAAGCAACUGUUGGAACUCCCUCGGGAUACCCUUAAUGACUUCUGCAUGUCUCCUGUGUCACAGAUGUCAAAGGCUUGUUGUUUCCAAGGAAUCUUCCCCUGGGACCAGAUAAAGUGCCAAGAAAAGGUGUGUGGCAUCAGGAGUGAGGACAAACUCUGAGAGUCCUCUGCAGUGCUUAUCACAGACAGAGAGGAAACCAUCCACCCACUGGUACUCAAGGAAGAGGAAGAGAAGAGAGGGAAGUCUCUGGAUUGCUUUUGACCAGAGAAGUGAGGCUGGAUUGAAAAGAGCUGACAAGAGCAAAUUCCUUAUAAGAUUUAAAGCCCCAGUAAAGAGGCUUCAAUUAGCCAAGCUCACGUGA